rnacentral:lncRNA from 10 species
UGUGUUUUUAGUAGAAACGGGGUUUCACCAUCUUGGCCAGGUUGGUCUUGAACUCCUGACCUUGUGAUUCAUGUGCCUCAGCCUCCCAGAGUGCUAGGAUUACAGGCUUGAGCCACCACGCCCAGCCAGUUUCCCAGUUUCAUUAUAUCUCCUCUCUCACCUCGUUACACAUAGUCUUUUACCCAAACAGAAUGACUUAGUAUGUUAUGAGUAUUGUUCAUUCCAGCUAACCUGGCUUGUUUUAUGACUAUUUGUGUCCUGUUUUAAUUUUCCUAUUUUGCUCUAAGUCUUUGAGCAUAAUAACUAUGUUUAUUCAUUUUGAUAUUCCCUAUCACAUCUAACACAGUAUCUUCUGUGUGCUUAUUCAAAUAAUGUGUUGAAGCACAGACUAGUGUCCAAAUAAAUAGUGUGCUUUUCAAAAACCUCCUUUUAAUCUUCAGUGAAAAUUUUUAUUAUCUAGGGCAAGUCUACGAUCUUGUGCAAGAAAGUGUGGGAUCGAGAAUAGGAAAUAUCACUCUAAAUAAUCCUGCUUUCCCUAUUUCCUAGCCUUAUGGCAAAUUCUUUGAUCUUCUUAUAGUCCAGUUUUCUCAUUUAACAAAUGAAGCUAAUGGUGUCAACUCCAUAGAUUGUCCUAGGAAUUAAGUGAGAGUAUACAUGUAAUGUGCUUGGAAGAGUGCCUGGGACAUAGUAAGUGCUAUUGUUUUAUCAGUUUUAACUUUCAACCCUGGUAGAUCUGCUGCUAGUUUGAAAUAGCAAUCGUAUAACUAUGUAUGGAGCCUAAAACUUUCAACAUUUUCUAUCAGUACUAUUCACCAUCUUGAUCAUAGAAUUAGAGAAUUUUUGUUUACUUUGCCAGUUGAUAAGAUAACCAAGGUUCUUUUUUCUUUAAAUGCCACCAAAUCCAGUAUAUGACUACCAAAAUUUGUAUAAAAUCUGAUAUAAACCAAAUAGACAUGAUAGAUGUUUAUUUGGUUUAUAAAGUGAUAAUUGUGUAUGUAGAAUAUUUUACUCCUUUAAACUGAAAUAUCCACUAUAGGUUUAAAAUAGAAUUACAUUUGUACAAAUUUAACUUACAUAAUGUUUUGGGUUUUUUGUUUGUUUGUUUGUUUUGUUUUGUUUUUCUGAGACAGAGUUUUGCUCUUGUUGCCCAGGCUGGAGUGCAAUGGUGCGAUCUUGGCUCACCACAACCUCCACCUCCCAGGUUCAAGCGAUUCCUGCCUCAGUCUCCUGAGUAGCUGGGACAACAGGCAUGCGCCACCAUACCCGGCUAAUUUUGUAUUUUUAGUAGAGAUGGGGUUUCUCCAUGUUGGUCAGGCUGGUCUCAAACGCCCAACCUCAGGUGAUCCGCCCACCUCGGCCUCCCAAAGUGCUGGGAUUACAGGCCUGAGCCACCGUGCCUGGCUGACUUGUUUUUUUUUUUUUUCUUUUUUUUUUUUGGGCGGGGGGACGGAGGCUCACUCUGUUACCCAGGCUGGAGUACAGUGGCAUGAUCUCCACUCACUGCAACUUCUGCCUUCCAGGUUCAAGCAAUUCUCCUGCCUCAGCCUCCUGAGUAGCUGGGAUUACAGGUGACUGCCACAAUGCCCAGCUAAUUUUUGUAUUUUGGGUAGAGAUUUUUGUAUUUUUGUAUCUGGUUUCGCCAUGUUGGCCAGGCUGGUCUUGAACUCCUGACCUCUUGGGCUGCACUUCUAGCUCCAUCAUCUUACCAGCUGGGGAACAUUUUGGUCAAGUUACUUGAUUUCUCUAUGCCCAAAUUCAUGCUGAAAAUGGCGAUAAUGGUAGUACCUACCUCGUGGUAUUAUUGUGAGGAUUAAGUGAAUUAAUAUGAGCAAGGUCCUCAUAAGAAUGCCUGACACAUGGUAAGCCCUAUUAUUAUUUUUGUUACAUUAUGCAUAUUUAAAUGAUCUUAUAAAGCAGUUGCAAGGGCAUGGAUGGAAUUUGGAGUAUAUUUUAUUUCUUUAAUAGAUGUAUCAAGGAGGACAGAUUUUACAUAGUAAAACUUGUCCAAAAAUAUGGAUAGGGAUGGGGUGACCCAAGUUAUUCCUUUUUAAAAAAAUAAGAAUGAGAGGCAUAAAGCAGACUGACUAAUCAGUUGAGUUCAUACCAACUAUUUUCCACAGCCACGAUUCUAUAAGAUAGAAUAACGAUCCAGAGAUAGAAUGGUUAUGCCAAUUUUUAAAAAAGUUUCUUUCCAGCUCUUAAGAGAUGAUUCUAUGAUACACUCUUCCAAGAAUAACAAUUUUAUGAUAUAUAUUUUUAUAUCUUGGAAAGCUGUUGGCCUUAUAAGGGUAUGUCAAAGUCUUAACCAAUAUAUGCAACUCCAAUCUGUUAUAUCAAACAUGAGAUCUUAUUAGAUAUCCUUGGACACUCCACCCCUGAACAGCUGCCAUGGUGUAUUUAUAUUUGAUCAUUUAAAUCAAAGUCCACUUAAAUAAUUAUUAUAACCAAGAACGUCUUCGCAUGUGGAACCUGAAUUAUUUUUUAGUGAAGAGAGUGGUUAUUUAAAAAGAAGUCAUCUCCAAAGACUAAGUGUAGUUGGCAAGAUGCCCACAAUUUCUGGGGAAGGAAUUCCUAUGGCCCCUCUUUAUUGUACAAAUACAGAACAAGGAAGCACCUAUUGCCCACUGGGAAGGAUGACCAGACCACUUUGUGGCUUCACAGGGCCACCCUUCCCUAGAACUCUCUUGUGUACACUCAGCUGUCUGGGGAGGUGUCAGGGGCAUUGGAUCUCACCUCUCUUUCAUUCUGAGGUUCAGCGUAAUUACAACCUCUCUCAUAGAUGGGAGUCAGCUGACAGGAAAGGAUACCAAAGGCCUCCAAGAGGGAACUCCCCUUAGGGAAGGUUGGAAGAGUGAGGAGCUGGACAUCAUGCCAGGAAGCAGAGUUUGUGCUGCUGUCCCCUGCCCCCGACAACCACCUGGGCACAGCAGAUAUUCUUAGGUUUGGGAACAAUGGCUGCAGAUGGGACUGUAGUUUUAAAAAAUGCCCCUUUGGGAACUCAAGGGCCAUGCAUCCUGUACUGAGGUCUCUGCAGCCAUGUGAACUACCUUCACAGCAUCAGAGAAAAGAUCCUUUGGAUUUGUGAGACCAGUUUCCAGCCCCACUAUAAUCGAGCCUGAACACUAAGACUUCCCUGUGCACCGGCAGAUUUUCACUUCACUUUCGGUAAGGCAUUUGGAAGCAGAACGGCCUCUUUGGACUGAAAAAUACUGAGUGAGUUACCUGAGAACCAAUGUGAAGUAGCUGUUGAGGUGAGGCCUCUUGGAAAAACUGGACUUCCUGCUCACCUGACAUAGGAAGCUUGUAAGGUUUUCAUUUGAAGGGAUAUUUGAUAUUUAGUUUAUUUUACUUCAAAUUGUUUAUGCUGAUUUUAGCAGUUUUUUCAAGUCACUGAAACCACAUUCAUUUACAUAAACUUAGAUGACCGAUGACUUUUCUGUUAAAACUUUGGAAAUAUUAGUUGGUUACGAAUGAGCACUUGUCAGCAUGCGGUUGGCAAUAUUUUUAUUUUAAGAAGAUUGGCAAUGAAGAACCGAAAAACUAGCCUCAGAAGCCUUUUUUUUUUUUCUAAGAAAAUAAAGUAUCAUUUGAUAGACAUCCAAACCGGAUACCUAAGGCAUCACUCUUUUUGGAUUAAAGAUGUUUAUUGGUCCUUGUGAGGUGUGAGAAUUGAGUCCAGUCCAAAUUACUCAUCUCUAAGACAUUUCAUUUGAAAUAUAUUGGUGACAUUUUGUCUUUUGAUUAAACAAACAGAAACAGUAACUUCCUAAGCAAAGAGCCAAAUAACUAACUUACUUUCCUGGUCCAGUUGUAGCUAGGACAUCUUAUAUCUGUGCAAUGCUUUUUGCACUAUGAUGGUGUAUGUACCACGAUGUCGCUCUUUCUUUCUUUCUUUCUUUCUUUCUUUUUUGAGAUGGAGUUUCACUUUUGUUACCCAGGCUGGAGUGCAAUGGCGCUAUCUCGGCUCACUUCAACCUCCACCUCCGGGGUUCAAACGAUUCUCCUGCCUCAGCCUCCCUCGUAGCUGGGAUUACAGGCACCCACCACCAUGCCUGGCUAAUUUUUGUAUUUUUAGUAGAGACAGAGUUUCACCAUGUUGACCAGGCUGGUCUUGAACUUCUGACCUCAGGUGAUCUGCCUGCCUUGGCCUCCCAAAGUGAUGGGAUUACAGGCAUGAGCCACUGCACCUGGCCAACUCUUUCAAGAAGAAGAAACAUUUUAAGACCAUAACUAGUCCUUGUACCUCAUAUAAUGUGAUCUCAUUGUGCCAUAUAUUCUCAGUGUGUAAACUUUUGUAGGGCCAAAGAAAAAACUUCCCUUUUGUCCUCUGAAGGUUUGGUGAAAAUCAACUGACAAAAGGCAGAUAAAUAGAAGAAAAGGAUUUUAUUUGAUCAUAGUUUUAUGUGACUUGGGAGCCUUCAGAAUGAAGACCCAAAGGUAUAAGGGGACAGUCCAUUUUAUGCUUAGUUUCAACAGCAUAUGGACAGCUGUGUAGAAUAUGGUUGGACAAAGAGGGUAUAACCUAAUGCUAUUAGACUGGGGAAAUCCAGUAAGACCUGUCUGCUUAGAUUCUUCUUGGCCUCUCUCCAUAGGACCCUCUUUGGAAUGGGGGUCUUAUGACCUAAACUCAGACAGGGUGAGUCAUAUAAUUUCUUCGUGGUCAGAUUUUACAUAGAAACACAGGGAGAAUGCUAGAGUAAUAUCUAUCUAUCUAUCUAUCUAUCUAUCUAUCUAUCUAUCUAUCUAUCUAUCUAUAUCUCUCUCUCUAUAUAUAUAUAUUUUUUUUUUGAGACGGAGGCUCCCUCUGUCGCCCAGGCUGGAGUGCAGUGGCGCGAUCUCCACUCACUGGAAGCUCCACCUCCCAGGUUCAUGCCAUUCUCCUGCCUCAGCCUCCCGAGUAGCUGGGACUGCAGGUGCCAGCCACCACACCCGGCUAAUUUUUUUGUGUUUUUAAUAGAAACGGGGCUUCACCGUGUUAGCCAGGACGGUCUCGAUCUCCUGACCUCGUGAUCCGCCUGCCUUGGCCUCCCAAAGUGGUGGGAUUACAGGCGUGAGCCACCUUGCCUGGCCUAGAGUAGUAUUUUUAUGUUUUAUGGCUGGCUUUAUAAAAAAGGGGUCCUGAUUUCUGGGACCUGAUUUGGGAAAGAGGAAUUCUAGCUUCUAUGACUAGUCUGGGGAAGAAUGUGGGACCAGAGACAGGAGACCAAAAGGAGUCAGAGGAAAAUUUUUCCUUCUAAGGCUGCUUCUGAGGCCUUCAUUGUGGGGUAUCAUUUUCUGAACCCCAAAACUUUGAACUCAGUGUGUUUCACUCUCUGCUCUUGCUGUGUGACCUGAGGACAAAUCACUUAACUACUCUGAGCCUCAGUUUCCUCAUCUGUCUGACAAAGCUAAUCAUACCUUUUUCAAGAAACUGUUAAAACUUUAAGGAAAAUAAUGCAUAUAAAAACACAUUUCGGCCAGGCGUGGUGGCUCAUGCCUGUAAUCUUUGGGAGGCCGAGGUAGGCGGAUCACUUGAGUCCAGGAGUUUGAGACCAGCCUGAGCAACAUGGUGAAACCCCGUCUCUACAAGAUACAAAAAUU